rnacentral:siRNA from 1 species
UACGCCAUCAUGUCUUGAUUAG